rnacentral:sRNA from 1 species
UAAGACAACCUGAUGUUGUUUAUAUGCUUGACGACAUAAUGAAUUUCACUACAGUAUAUUUUAUGAACACCGCUUCCUGUCUGGGCGUUUGUUCAUAUUUUGAAUUUUUUAGUGACUCCUAAACCCGAAAUCGUGAUACGAGGGAUAGAGAAGUAUGGAAACAGGUACUGUUAAAUGGUUCAAUAAUGCAAAGGGCUUUGGAUUUAUCUGCCCAGCCAGCGGGGGCGAGGAUAUAUUCGCUCACUAUUCAACCAUUCAGAUGGAUGGUUAUAGGACGCUGAAAGCUGGACAAAAAGUGAACUUUAGCGUUCAUCAAGGCCCU